AUGCAUACCUGGUAGGGGAGAGACCAGGUUCAUGAAGGUGGUUUUCCUAAGGUAAGGCUUCUCCAUUACACCCUAGAGAUGUGACCCUUGCAAUUUCCCCAAAUGUGAAAACUCCACUGCAUCAUUUAUGGUAGUAGGGGAUUGUGUUCAUGCUCUUGCCUG